GCCAACUUAGCUCAGCUGGUAGAGCACGUGACUUGUAAUCUCGGGGUCGUCGGUUCGAAUCCGACAGUUGGCUCCU
rnacentral:tRNA from 2 species